CCUACGGGAGGCAGCAGUGGGGAAUAUUGGACAAUGGGCGAAAGCCUGAUCCAGCCAUGCCGCGUGUGUGAAGAAGGCCUUCGGGUUGUAAAGCACUUUCAGUGGGGAAGAAAGCCUUGGGGCUAAUACCCUCGAGGAAGGACAUCACCCACAGAAGAAGCACCGGCUAACUCCGUGCCAGCAGCCGCGGUAAUACGGAGGGUGCGAGCGUUAAUCGGAAUUACUGGGCGUAAAGCGCGCGUAGGCGGUCUGAUAAGCCGGUUGUGAAAGCCCCGGGCUCAACCUGGGAACGGCAUCCGGAACUGUCAGGCUAGAGUGCAGGAGAGGAAGGUAGAAUUCCCGGUGUAGCGGUGAAAUGCGUAGAGAUCGGGAGGAAUACCAGUGGCGAAGGCGGCCUUCUGGACAGACACUGACGCUGAGGUGCGAAAGCGUGGGUAGCAAACAGGAUUAGAUACCCGGGUAGUC
rnacentral:rRNA from 1 species